GAGGCACAGAGACUUGGUGGGGGUGCUCAAGUGUUGCAUCAUUAGAGUGCAGUAAGUGUGCAAAUGUUAAACUGCACAAAGCCAGUGCAGGGUUGGGGAGCCAAACCUAGAGCAGGUUUCUCUAUACCAUACAUGUAUACAUAAACCCACCCCGGUUUUGUUGGAGAUUCAUAAUCUCCAAAGCCUCAGUCAAGCAGGUUUUCUCACUGUUAAUCUUUCCAAUUCUCUGUCCUCCAACCUGACAAAAGAGAAGUGAAUGAUCAUCUGUGUGAAGUUUAGUUGCAGACUGGAGUUAAACCAUGACAAGGAUGAAUAUAAUCUAGUCACAAAGAAAUUUGAGAUAUUUUGCAUGUUUAUCCAGUAUGCCCACAAGAGAAAUAAAGAACCUUCAGUGAAAUGGAAAGGUACGAAAAUCAAUACUUAGAAGUGAAAAAAUUUCCUACACAAUUAGUGAAGCUCUGCUAGAAAGUACUGUGGAAACAAAGAGCUUACCAAGUUUUCAGGUUUUGCAGAAUCCUGCUAGCUGAUUAAAGAUCAGGACAACGUAUGUUAUAACCCUGAAGUCCUACACAGCCCUCACACUUGACAGGUUGGAUUCUCAAGUACCCCAUACCUAUUAAGUCCUAUUAAUUUCCAACAGUGAGAAUCACAGAAACAAUUAGGUUGGGAAAAAACCUCUAAGAUCACUGAGUUCAACCUUUGACUGAACACCAUCAUGGCAACUUAACCACAGCACUGAGUGCCGUGUCCAGUUGUUUCUUGAACACCUCCAGGGAUAGUGACUCCACUGUGUUUCUGUUCAAAGGAAGUAGCUGUUAAUACAGGAUAAAAAGGAAUGUGUAUAGGAUUUGCUGUGGUAUACUCAGACAUUUCUUUCGACAUAAAUAUGCAGUAGGUGGUACUUCUGGGCGUGCUACUGUGGCCUCAAUAGCUUUCCUCUUCAUCUACGAUAUUGUAGUUAGCACUUCCAGACAGGCAGCUGCAUAAUAAGUUUGCUAUUGACCUAGAACAAAAAGUUCAUACCAUCUGUUAUCUUGCAGCAUAAAAACUGGUCAUGAUUUCAUUUGAACUAGUCUUCUGGUUUCUUUCUGAGGUAUAAGUUGGAAGCUUAAAAUUGAGAGCCUGGGAAGAUUUAACUGUAGAGUCAUUAUUCAGGGAAAACUAAAAGAAUAUGCUCAAAUUCUUUAUACACUAAUGUUAAACCCUAUUUUCUAAUUGUAUUUUAGAUUAUGUCACUGAAGCCU